AUGGGGACUUUUAGCUGUAAUUAUCUGCUAGUGGCACUUAGCCCAUCAACGCCUCCUCCAGCACGUUCCACUGCAUCUGCACGCUCAGCAUUUAGACUUUGGCCUGCGUCUAGACGGACAGACGCACAUCUGAGGCAGCUGGAAAGGAACACACACACACACAGACAGACAGACAGACAGACAGACAGACAGACAGACAGACAGACAGACAGACAGACAGACAGACAGACAGACAGAGACACACAGACAGACAGACAGACAGACAGACAGACAGACAGAGACACACACACAGACAGACAGAGACAGACAGACAGACAGAGACAUACACAGACAGACAGACAGACAGAGACACACACACAGACAGACAGACAGAGACAUACACAGACAGACAGACAGACAGAGACAUACACACAGACACACAGACACACAGACAGACAGACACAUACAGACAGACCGACAGACACAGACACACAGACACACACACAGAAAGACAGACAGACAGGCACACAGACACACACACAGACACACACACAGACAGACAGACAGAGACACACACACAGACAGACACACAGACAGAGACAUACACACAGACAGACAGACAGACAGACAGACAGACAGACACACACACACACACACACAGACAGACACACAGACAGACAGACAGAGACAUACACAGACAGACAGACAGACAGAGACAUACACACAGACACACAGACACACAGACAGACAGACACAUACAGACAGACCGACAGACACAGACACACAGACACACACACAGACAGACAGACAGACAGACAGAGACACACACACAGACAGACACACAGACAGAGACAUACACACAGACACACACACAGACAGAGACAUACACACAGACACACACACAGACAGACAGACAGACAGACAGACAGAGACAUACACACAGACACACAGACAGACAGACAGACACAUACAGACAGACAGAUAGACAGACACAGACACAGACACAGACACACAGACACAGACACACACACACACACACACACACACAUUAAUAUAAUAUAA
ensembl:lncRNA